rnacentral:tRNA from 1 species
AGGAGUGUAGCUCAAUUAGGUAGAGCACCGGUCUCCAAAACCGGCGGUUGGGGGUUCGAUUCCCCCCUGCCCUGCAA